rnacentral:lncRNA from 11 species
CCUCUGCUCUGCAGAGCCCAGUGCCUUCCUCCCCAGAAGGAAGACGUCGGGCCAGCACUUCUCCAGUCUGCAAAGCACCCAGCAGCUCCCUCUGGAGAAGGAGGAUGUUAGGCAGUUUGCAGACUGAGAAGCCCAGCACCUCUCCCCCUUGGCUGCAACUUGCCUUGCAGCAGCCAAAGAGAAGGAAUCAGGCUCCAUGUGGAGCUGGCUCGGGUCCCUUUGAGCCUUUUGCCUCCCCUGUAAAGCAAGCAAUGGGAUUGGGGGGAAAGGAGCGAGGGAGUGUGGGGAGAAGCCAAGCCACUGUGACCCACUCACUGCCUUCCCAUUUUAGCUGGCUAGUCCCCUUUUCAUACAAACUGAAGGCUUCUCUAUUCAAGAAGCUGGAUUGUUUUACCAGCUUGUGGCUGUGAUGACAGGGAAACAACUUGACAUGACAGGAAUCUUCAUCCUCAUGACUGGAAUCUUCGAGAAGAACAAUGCACCAUCCAUUGCGUAAAGAAUGGCUAGUUUCUCAGAUUUAAUGGCCCAUGACUCAUCACAGCCAUUCAGUCCUAAGAAGAAACCACAUGAAAUCAUUCUGUAUGUGAGCACUCUUUGAUCUAUUAACUUAAGAUCCUAUUAUUUGAAGAUUGGACUGGAAUACUGGACCAUGGCAUUUGCAUUUUUGAGCAAAAAAAAAGCCACUUUCUCCUGACUCCUUUCUAAUGUCUCACAAUACAAACUAUUUCAGAC